UUAAGACGCUGCCUGAAAACAAACAUCCUCAGACUCAUUGCGCUGAUUUCAAAACAGUUAAACACUUUUUGUAUUCGUCCACGUGAACCCUGGCUGUGUGUGCACGUUAACAUUCACGACUCCUCUGCUGCUGCGCGACUGAACCACACCCAGUGGGAACUGCUGUUUGCACAAUGCUGCAGCAGAAGAUGAACACGGGACUAACAAGAGUCCUGCCGUGUGUGUACGUGCCUGUGUGUUUAUUUACUGAAGUCAGUUGAUUGGGGUUCUGGGUAUCUGGAUAUGCCUGGUAAUGUAAUUUCCUCUCUUUAUUCCAUUUUGAUGGGUCCAAUACAAGUGUGUGUGUUUGCGUGUGUAUGCGUGCUAUUGAUUGUGCCGCCCGGAACAGAGCUCAGCACUCGCACAGCUCGGCGCCUCUCGUCCGACAUGCCGGUACGGAGACAAACGUUAUCCGCUAUCAAUCGCUUCACACCUUGUGAGCGCUGUGGGUGGUGUGUGAUGUGUGUACAUAUAUGUAGUAUGAAUUUGCAUUUACAUGCGUCGGCGCGUGGGGAGACAGAGACACAAAUAAGUGCCUUACCAUAAGCACAGGGAGCAGAAUGCUGGUAUGAACAAGUCCCCCCCCCUCGUAUGCCUGAACAUGUGUUGAUCACUGCGGAGGCCUGCGUGUGAAUACUAAUAGGUUCUCCGUUGGGAGUAUCGAGGGCUGCUUAGCAUACAAUGCCGCUGAGUAAAUAGCCAAAAACGCUGCCCCGGUUUCAGAUUCUUUGUGGCCGGCGAUUUUUUUACGAGCAGCUGUUCUUCACAAAGCAGCAUGUCUACGUUUGAAAUAACACAAUGUUGCCCAUGAACACCGCACGUUUAACAUGAACUGCUUCGUUGGUUUUAUCAGCAUCCGAUCCAUCUGGUACUAAUGGAUGAAUUGCAUUUCUAUUACACACACGGUGGAGUUGUGAUUAUUCACAUAUUACAUACUGGAUGUAGAGGAGUAAAAUGAAUAGCUAUUUAAAUGAAAUGGAGCCGCUAACAGUGGCCUGUGAACUUACAGAAAGGCAACACUUCUCUAAUGCAGUCUCACUGAGUCACUGCUAUGAUGUCAUCUAAAGCAAGUCCCCACUGAAACAAGCACUCAAACUUCCACUAAUCAGGAUUCAAAUAGAAAUGGAAAAGAAGCAUCACGUUGAUUACAACCAGGUCCUACAAUGUGUCAUACCACACGCCGCAUCCACCGCAAAACCGCCACACCCACCCCGACACCGUCACCAACACCAACACGGUCGGCGUGUUGAUCAGAGAAAUGCAGCCUCACUCGGGCGGCCAGUGACAUCGCGUGAAUAAUUCAAAAGCUGAGGCAGCAAAUAAAGACAGUAGUGAGGACGACAUGAGGAUGGAGGAUGCGAGACCUGCAGAACUAGCGAUGGGCGGAGGAGGAGAAGGGGAAUAGACUGUGCGGUCCCACCCCCACUCGUCCACAGCAGCUGGAGAAAACCCGGAUCCCGGAGCCGCGCUGCCACGGAUCAGGACUCCCCGGCAUUAAGGUGCAACUGGUGGCGAUCGCCAGGGACGAUGACAUGAUGGCUGUGCUCCUGACACGCCCACGCUGCGAUUAUAGUAUAUAUUAAUUCAGCGACCACAGGUGCGUCUAUCCUGAGCGCACGGCCCACACCGAGGUUAAAGAGAUUAUACAGCCAGGAGAGGCCCUCUGUGGUAUCGGACUCAUCCAACAAAAGGCUUCAUAUCUGCGCUUCAAUCACUGUCCAAAGGUCACAAAGCACAAAGGGGUUGAAGCGGUUGCUUCCUGGAUGGGAGGAAACUGGUAGGACUUCAUCAGGGGGAAGCGUUGUCAACCAUUCAGCAGUGAGUGAAGCACAUUUGAUUGGCGCUUGAUAACAAAAUCGAUGGGUUCUCAAACAAAAGAAACAUCCCAACCCAUCAAGAGCCCAAUGAAAGGAUUUACCUCUCUGCUGAAAUGCCCUCAUUAACGGGUAAAGUGGUAUCGGAAGGUCUGUGGUUUUUAAAAACAAUUAAGGUCAAAGGUGUGCUGACCUCCCACUUCAUGUAUCUUAUUUCAAACAAGGGCUUGUUCAUGAAGUCUCUGUAUGAAUGUAGGAAGUUGUAUGAAGUUCUCAAAAGUGUUUAUAAAGACUUCUUUCAUUA